rnacentral:rRNA from 1 species
GAGCAGCGAGUUCUUUUCCUUGGCCGGAAGGUCUGGGUAAUCUUGUGAAACUCUGUCGUGCUGGGGAUAGAGCAUUGCAAUUAUUGCUCUUCAACGAGGAAUUCCUAGUAAGCGUGAGUCAUCAGCUCGCGUUGAUUACGU